AUGCUCUCCAACAGAGGAAUCCUGCUGCACUUAGGGAGCCCGUGCAGCUCUUGUGCUGGCCAGGUCUGGCAGCCAGGGCUGCAGAGCCCGUGUGAUAGUGCCUGGCUGCUGAUCAAAGGGCUCUUGAGCAAGAACCCACUGCACAUCAGCAGCAGCUGCUGCCAAGAGCCAUGGACUUCUCUGGGCUGGAAGACAACUGAUAAAGCAGAUGCUGAGAAAAGCAGUGAUGCCUGCAUUGGGCAAUCUCGAGGCAAAGCCUUGCUUCAACACAGAGCAGGUGCGGGGAAAGAAACACAUAAAUCACAUUUUCCUGGGCUCCAACAAAGUGCCACCUGCUUGGGAGAGCAAAUGGAGAUGCUUUUACAGGACUCUGAAGCUACUAACCAGGGUAAAAGCUGUGCUCUCAGCCAGUGCCUUGCUCAUCUCCUGAUCCACAGAUUCCUGUAAUCAAGAGGCAAAUGGACCUCUUGGGUUUGUGACUUGUUGGUUUCUGCAGACAUUGCUCUGUUUUUCCACUCUGCUCUCUCUGUCAGGGUAAUCCUGGUUACUGUAAGGCCAGAAGCACAGCUGUCCCUCACUCCAAACCCUUCCCAGACAUAAUUUGACCACACAGAGUCUGCCUCAUUAUAUAUGUAAAAUAGGCAGAUGCUAUUAGAAAGUAAUUUUUUCCCCCACUGCGCAGCCUGUCCCUCAUUAGGAAAUCCUCUGCAGGGGUCAUGUUUUUAUCCUGCCCCAUAAUUUCAAGGUUUUUGAGAUCACCCUCAGAACUGGAGAGCAUCUUCCCUUUUCUACCUUGAAACCGAGCACUGAGCCCUCAGCCCCGUCCUGCCAGGACCUUUCCUGAGCCAUUUGUGCUCCUGGUGCUGCUGGGCACCGUCCCAGCUCACCCAGCCUGCAGUGACACGGGGCUCGGGGACAAUGACAAUAAUGACAAUGACAAUCAACCCUCCCAGGCUCACACCCAGCCCUCAGGCAGGAUGAGGAGCCCUGGAGGGGGCUCUAAAAGCACCUUUAAGAGACUGAUGGAAAUGGUCAGAGGAAUGAGCAGCGUUUUGGGGUAUUUAGGAUCCUGCAGGGCAGAAAAUGAAGCAGCACUGGACAGGGCUCUGCUGGAUGCCCCAGUGUGGCCAUGGGCAGCCCUGGUGGGAUGAGCUCAGUGCCUUACCCGGCUGAGUGAUGAGGGAGGGGAAUUUCCCUUCAGCAGGGCCCACGGGACUGGUGGCAAAAGCCAGGUAAAUAUCUGGUCAAGGCAAAAGUUAAAAUCAAAUUUUUGUUUUUUUUUUUUUUUUUUUUACUUGUCUACUUCUCACGGUAGGAGUUUUAUUAUUUUAGAUGAAACAGUAAAAACGUGUCUCCAGCAGCUCCAUCAGAGUGUGCUCCAUCCUGUGUGUGCCCCAGACUGAGGAUCUGACACAUCUGGCACCUACACUCGGGGCCUGCCCGCCUGGGAGAAGCUGCCCAGGGAGGAGAAUGCACAUUUCCACGUGAAACAGAAAUGACAAAACAGUUCCUGGUGCACGAGCCAAUUUCCAAGGCCAAAUCCAGCUCUCUGCAAGUCCAGGGGAAAGGUCACCAGGAAUCAGGAAGAAAAUGACUGAAUUACCAGCACUGCAGCAAGAGAAUAAACUCUCAGAGGGAUUGAUGGGGCCGGUGGGAUGUCACCCUGGCCACUGGCAGGGUCCCCUCGUUAAUGUGGCCAUCUCCAAACCACACUCCAGCCAGUGACAGAAAAGACAUCAGUCGGAUUUAUAUAAGAGCAUUGCAAAAUAUUGGAUAAUAAAUGCUGCCUCCAAAGAGCAGCAGGAGGAUUCCCUGCGCCGCCAGCCCUUGCUCUGUGCAAGGUGGGGGACAGGGGCACUGCUGGCACCCUCUGCCCAGCCUGGCGGCAGGGCUGGGCUGGCACUCACCCCGUGAGUCACCGGCGCUGAAAUGGAGAAGCGUGCAUAUGCAAAUGGCUCAUUAGCGCCAUUAGCACAGUCAGUUCGCCAAGCUGCGCCGCUGCCGCGCUCAGCCCGGCGCAUCCCACACCCUCGCUCCAGGUCUGCGCUGGGGAACGCCGGGUUCCCGGCAGCUGCGGCCACAAACGGCUCCGAGAACCGAUUUUUCCUCCUGUAGUUCCAGGAAGGAAAAGAAAGAGUGAGAGUUUGCCAAGCAGCUUCCUGAAAAGUGCUGGGGAAUAGGACAGACCCGGGAAAUGGUGGAGACAGAGCCAGGAAAUGGUGGGGACAGACCCCAGAGAUGAUGGGGACAGACCCCCCCCCCCCCCCCCCCCCCCCCCCCCCCCCCCCCCCCCCCCCCCCCCCCCCCCCCCCCC
ensembl:lncRNA